rnacentral:rRNA from 1 species
AGCGAACGCUGGCGGCAGGCCUAACACAUGCAAGUCGAACGAAGUCUUCGGACUUAGUGGCGGACGGGUGAGUAACACGUGGGAACGUACCUUUUGGUUCGGAACAACUCAGGGAAACUUGAGCUAAUACCGGGUGAGCCCUUAGGGGGAAAGAUUUAUCGCCGAAAGAGCGGCCCGCGUUAGAUUAGCUAGUUGGUGAGAUAAAGGCUCACCAAGGCUACGAUCUAUAGCUGGUCUGAGAGGAUGAUCAGCCACACUGGGACUGAGACACGGCCCAGACUCCUACGGGAGGCAGCAGUGGGGAAUCUUGCGCAAUGGGCGAAAGCCUGACGCAGCCAUGCCGCGUGAAUGAUGAAGGUCUUAGGAUUGUAAAAUUCUUUUACCAGGGACGAUAAUGACAGUACCUGGAGAAAAAGCCCCGGCUAACUUCGUGCCAGCCGCCGCCGUAACAC